rnacentral:lncRNA from 1 species
AUGAAUUUAAAAAUUAGAAUGCAGAAAGUCAUAAAUAUUCUAUAGGCAAGUUUUCUGCCCUUUUCAUGCAUUCAUACACAUCCCUUUCCACUACCAUCCCCAAUAGUAAUUAAAAAUUAUUACAAAUCCGAAUGAAUGAGAAAAAGAGUAAAAUUACAUCAAAAGUUCAAGCUACAUCCAAACAGCCUAAUUCAAACUCAAAGUCUAACAAUAUGAGAUAAACUAACUUCCUUGAUCAGAUUUCCAAAAGCAUUUCUUAUAUUUGGGAUGUGUAAAAGUUUCUAAGAGUCUCAAGGGACUCAGGGCAGAUCUUACACCACAAACACAUUUGCAGAAUAGAUUAUAGUGCAGUGUGGAAGAGCCAAACCUCAAAUGUCCAAGUUUAGAUGGAACUUAGGGUCCCAAAGCAUCGCUCAUAGGAGGAGAACAGAGCUUAGAAUCGAAGAGUAAGUAUAAGUGCAUAAGGGGGUAAUCAAGAAAGCCAUGGCAGGCUGGUGGUCAUGCCCAGCAAUUAGGAAUGCUGGCACAUCCAUGGCCAGCCUUUUAUUGUACAAGAACCUUAACUCAAACACAUAGAAAGGAAUAGGGGUAGGGAUUCAAGGUAGAAAUAAAUGCCAGGAAAAAACAUACUCAACAUAAAUCAUUGAACAUGAGUAGUAAAGUAAAUAAGAAUUCUAGAACUCUAAGGUAAACACAUAGGGGUGACGCAGAAGAUUAAAUCAAACACAUACCAAUUUCAGGGGAGAAAACGUAAAAAAAAAAAAAGAAGCCAAGUUACAAGUAAAGCAGCACCAAAAGCUCUCAGCAAAGCAGAUUGUUGAAAGAAUAUUGACUUUAGAACAGUAGUGUAAGUAUUGAAUUGAAAGUUUUAAAGAAUGGUAGUGUGAAGAUCGUGUGGUGAACUUGAAGUGUGAAGAUGCAGUUGCAAGGUGUAAAGUCUGGUGUUUAAAAGAACAUAAGGGCAGUCCCUUUUAUAGUGUAGAGAAGCAAGUAAGAAAGUCAAGGAAAUAUCAUUGGAAUCAGUCUCCCUUUGGUUAAGGGAUUCUGAUUCCAACGGCUAAAAGCCAGUUAAGGAAAGAAAUUUUGAUUAAGACCUUUCAAAGUAGCACAAAAGAGGUAAAUACACAGAACUUAUUUAAGGAUAAUAGUCAACAGUUUACGGUUUGUACCAAAUAUGGUAAGGGAAUCAAUCAACGACCCGUAAACCAAGAUUAUAAGUUUAAUUUUGAAUGAACCAAGUUAAGAAAGGUAAAAGGAGGUUCAAUCGAAGAAAAUCAGUGAUAAUUCAUUAGCCCUAUUAAAAAGAUUUCAGAAUCAAUCACUUAGUUUGUAAAAAUAUUUUGAAAGAGGAAUUUCUCGUAUAUAAAGCAUACCAAUCAAACAAAGGGAACUAUCAGGUUAUUUAGAAAAAGAGUUUAUCAUUGAAAGACUUAGAGUCACAAGUAAAAAGAAAUUCAAGUUCAGUUACACACUCAUCGUGAGUCCAAAAGUUUAGGGUCCCAAAGUGGAACCCUAAUACCAUUUGCCAAAGAAACCCCCAAAUCCUAGGGUUUCAAAUUGAGUUAGGAAAUAGAGAAGAGCAAUCAGGUCAUUGAAUCAGACUCAGAAGACUCUUCCAAAAACUUAUGAGAGACAAAUACACGAUAGAAAGAACACUAAUUCAAGGUCAUGAGACCAUGUUUGAGAAAACUUGGAGUCAAACAAGUUCAGAAAAAAGAGAUGAUACGAGUUUUAAACAUAAGUAGAGAAAAUAUGCUUCGCAGGAACACGAACAGAGUUCAGUAAAGUGAACAAAAAUCAAAGAACUCAAACAUAAAUAUAUAUAGCAUAGAAUAUGGAAAACAACACGGAUAAACAUGCAAGGAAUAACAACAAAAAUAGAAGAACCUUGCAUAAUAGAAGAGAAACAAGAGAGAAAACUUAAGCAUAGUAGAAGAGAAAGCAUACGAGCAUAACAUAGGUAAAGACACAUGAAGACAGAACAGAAAGAUAUUUGAAGAAAAUUUUCAGAAACCCUAAAAUUGAGAUUGAACGAUUUUUGAAUAGGAAAUUUGGGGAAAACCUUAGAAAAGUCAAGUAAAGCCCUGACAUAUCAGAUAUCUAAGAAAAAUUAAGCGAGUACAGAACCUCAGCCAGCUUAGAGUUGCAGAGAAGACCCUAGAAAUGAGGAAGUUCUUGAGGAAAGUGAGAUCCUGAGUUAAAAAGACUCAUAUUGAUUGAACAUGUCGGAAAAUGGCUGGAAAAACCAUAGAUCUACAGAUUUGAAGGGAACCAUUAGAGUCAGGCUUCAAGUCAUUGAACAACUUAGGUUUAGUGGUGAGAGAGGGUGAGUAAAGGCCAUCCAUGGCCUGUAACGCUAUGGAUUCCGGUGGAAAUAUAGUAGAAUCAGGUAAGGUUCCGUAGGGGUUAGAGAGUGUUUGAGAGACGAAAGGGUUUCAAAGGCAGCUCUGAAAUAGAAUGAGAUAGGUUAAAAGAGUUUGGA